GUCUGAUUUCUGCCAGAGGGCCUAUUAAUUGUUGCAUUUUUUUGUAACUGUUCCUGAUUAGGUUUAAUAAACAAGACCCUUCGUAUUUUUUUGUAGAAAAACUAAACCAAAAGAUGAAUGUGGACCCGAACUCUCAACAAGACGGUGCGGACAGGCUGAAAGCGAACUGCACAUGGUAUGAGGAGAUCGAGUGUGAACGUCAGAAAAUCAACAUCGCAGAAUCUUUUUGAUGCCAAGAGAAAUAAGGCACGAGGAAGAAGUCAAAGUCUGGCUUUUGGAACUGAGGGACCACACUUCUUCCCAAAAACUUUAAAAAAUAGAAUCAAUGGUUAUAAAGACAAUUCAAUUUCUACUAUCGAACUUUCCCUUGCGCAGUGGC